UACGGAGGUGGCAAGCGUUACUCGGAAUCAUUGGGUGUAAAGGGCAAGUAGGUGGUCUUGUAAGUGAGGGGUGAAAUCCUGCGACUCAAUCGCAGAACUGCCUUUCAAACUGCAAGACUUGAGGGUGGAAGAGGAAAAUGGAAUUCUCGGUGUAAGGGUGAAAUCUGUAGAUAUCGAGAAGAACACCAGCGGCGAAGGCGAUUUUCUGGUCCAUUCCUGACACUGAAUUGCGAAAGCUAGGGGAGCAAACAGA
rnacentral:rRNA from 1 species